CCUGUCAGUUGGAUACAAUCUUCUCUACGUCACCAUAUAAAUUCCCAGCAACUCUGAAAUCAAAGCUGAAAAUGUUGGAAACACUCAGUGGGUCAGGCAACAUCUGUUGAGAAAGAAACAGAGUUCAGCUCUACAUUUUGUGCAUUGACAUCUAUUGCAAGAUGGAGUUCAAGCAGCAACAGAGAACUUCAUUUAAUUGCCUGGUGCUUACAGAGUGAACUCAUUGGAAGAUCUUGCACCAGAUAUGAUGAGCUUCUGCCUGACAUGCUGACUAUUUGCUCUUUGGGACCUGUACAGAUUGCAAGGGUUGCACCUGAACUCGAGGGGGAGCAAAAUCCUUGCUGCGCUGGUAACCCGCUCAAGCAAGAGAAAAUCUGCAGAUGCUGGAAGUCCAGGCAGAAUAGUUCCCUCACCCCACACCUUCUGUUUCUACCCCCUACCCAAGAUCCACAAAACUGCCUGUCCUGAUAGACUCAUUGUUUCCACUUGUUCCAGCCUCACGGAGCUUAUAUCCCUGUACAUCAACUCAGUCUUAUUGCCCCCUGGCUCAGUCCCUUCCUAACUACAUCCGUGGUACUUCACACAUUCUUGAACUUUUCAAUUUUUCAAGUUCCCUGGCCCCAAUCAUCUUAUUGUCACUAGGAAUAUCCAUUUUUACACACCUCCAACUCCAUCGGGAAGGCCUCAAAGCUCUCUGUUCCUUUCUGGACACCAGUUCCCUUCCACCACAACUCUCCUCUGUCUGGCGGAACUGGUCCUCACUCUCAAUAAUUCCUCCUUCAGCUGCUGCCUCCUCCUUCAAACUUAAGCUGUAGUCAGAGGCACUCGCAUGGGUACAGGCUAUGCCUGCCUUUUCGUCAGCUACGUGGAACUGUCCACAUUCCAAGCCUACACUGGUAUCACUCCUCAGAUCUUCCUACACUAUUUCAACGACUUCAGUGGCGCUGCUUCCUGUGCUUAUCAACUUCAUCAACUUUUCUUUCAACUUCUACCCUGCCCUCAAAUUUACCUGGUCCAUUUCCAACACCUCCCUCCCCUUUCUUGAUGUCUCUGUCUCUAUUUCUGGAGACAGCUUAUCUACUGAUAACUUUUAUCAGUCUACUGAUUCUCACAAGAGGAAUACACCUCUUCCCAUCCUGUUACUUGUGAAAAUACCAUCCUCUUCUCUCAAUUCCUCUGUCACCACCGCAUUUGCUCUCAGGAUGAAGUUUCUCAUUCUAGAAUUAAAGAGAGGUGUUUCCUUCCUCUACCAUCACCACUGCCCUCAACCGCAUCUCUUCCAUUUUGUGCACGUCUGCCAUCACCCCAUCCUCCUGCCACUCCUUGAGGGUUGGGUUCCUUUUGUCCUCACCUACCACCCCACCAGCCUCCACAUCCAGCACUUAACUCUAACUUCUGCCAUCUCCAACAGGAUACCACCACCAAACACAUCUUUCCCUCCGUCCCACCUUCUGCUUUCCUCAGGGGUCAUUCCCUACUGGGCUCCCUUGUCCAUUCAUUCCUCCCCACUGAUUUCCCUUCUGGCACAUAUCCUUGCAAGCAGAACAAGUGCCACACCUGCCCCUUCACCUCUUCCCUCACUACAAUUCAGGGCCCCAAACAGUUCUUCCAAGUGAGAUGAUACUUCACCUGUGAGUCCGUUGCAGUCAUUUACCGUAUCCGGUGCUCCCGGUGUGGCUUCCUAUAUCAGUGCGACCCAACGUAGACUGCAAGACGGCUUCACCGAUCACAUGUGCUCUGUCUGCUUGAAAAUGCGGGAUCUCCUAGUGGCCACCCAUUUUAAUUCUAUGCCGCAUUCCCAUUCCAACAUGUCAGUCCUUGGCCUUCUCUAUCGAUGUCCCUGUGCUGUGUUUCUAGUCUCUUGUUUUCCUUGUUUCAAUGCUGUCUGUGGGAAGACAAAUCCUGCAAGAAAGUCUGUGAUGUGGGAAGGUUGUAUACUGCAUACAUACUUUGAUAAUAAAUGUACUUUGAAUCUUU